rnacentral:rRNA from 1 species
GUUUCUAUCUAUGAAGUGUUUUCUUCCAGUACGAAAGGAUCGAAGAAAAAAGGCCUAUGCUUAACAACAUGCCUUACCCCUCCUUAUGAAACCAACUUAAUUAGGCAAAAGGCACACAAAACCCGCCAAAGAUAAUAGCU